UAGUGAGUUGGCAGAAUAGUGCCACUGAUUUAGGCUCAGUUCAUGGGCAAUGCCCACUUACUAAGU
rnacentral:tRNA from 1 species